CAGUCGCCACGGGAAUACGUAGGUGGCAAGCGUUGUCCGGAAUUAUUGGGCGUAAAGGGCUCGCAGGCGGUUUCUUAAGUCUGAUGUGAAAGCCCCCGGCUCAACCGGGGAGGGUCAUUGGAAACUGGGAAACUUGAGUGCAGAAGAGGAGAGUGGAAUUCCACGUGUAGCGGUGAAAUGCGUAGAGAUGUGGAGGAACACCAGUGGCGAAGGCGACUCUCUGGUCUGCAACUGACGCUGAGGAGCGAAAGCGUGGGGAGCGAACAGGAUUAGAUACCCCGGUAGUCCCUGUCUCUUAUAC
rnacentral:rRNA from 1 species